rfam:Helianthus annuus linkage group 3, whole genome shotgun sequence.
AUCUUCACUCGUCCUGACAAUGACGCAGCUAAUGAGCUAAUAACCGAGGCAGCUAAUGAGCUAAUAACCGAGGCGCGUCAAUUGCUGGUUGAAAACUAUUUCCAAACCCCCUCCUCGGCUUUGGGUCUCCCUUGGCCAUCGAGAAUUUCUGGAAGGACUCCCUCUCGAGGGAAAGUC